rnacentral:rRNA from 1 species
AUUGAACGCUGGCGGCAGGCUUAACACAUGCAAGUCGAGCGUACGGCGGACAGGUGAGUAAUGUCUGGGAACUGCCCCAUAGAGGGGGAUAACUACUGGAAACGGUAGCUAAUACCGCAUACUAUCGCCUUUCACAUAUGGGAUUAGCUAGUAGUUGCGGGAAUGGCGCAAAUAGGCGACGCUCCGUAGCUGGUCGGAGAGGAUGAGCAGCCACACUGGGACUGAGACACGGCCCAGACGCCUACGGAGGCAGCAGUGGGGAAUAUUGCAGAAUGGGCGCAAGCCGGAGGCAGACAUGCCGCGUGUAUGAAGAAGGCCUUAGGGUUGUAAAGUACGUUCAGUCGGGAGGCGUUACCGACAGAAGAAGCACCGGCUAACUCCGUGCCAGCAGCCGCGGUAAUUC